CUAGAAGAAUUAAAACUAACACCACUAGAAACUAGAAGAAAAAUAGCACGUAUAACGCUCUUUCAUAAAGCCAUCUAUGAAAGAGUUGCUAUAUCUAUUCCAACGCACAUUAUAAAACAAAGAAGAACUUCGAGACUCCAUCAACCGAAAACUAAAAGAUAUGUACAAAUCAGGCAAAACAAAGAUAUCUACAAAUACAGCUUUUUCCCUAGGAC
rnacentral:lncRNA from 1 species